CUCCCAUCAUGGAUGCCAGAAAGGCAGACACCACCCCAGAGCCACUGCCCAGCUCUUGACACACAGAGGGGCUGGAGAAGACUGUCAAAGACAAAGUGAGCAGUUGGGUGCCAGACUGAUCUCCUGGUUAUGAAAGGAUGCCGGGACCUACCAGAAUGAUUAAAGAUGCAUGAGAUGCAGAGAGACCUGGCACUCAACACAUCCACAAUAAGAUGAUUACUAAUAGUACAGUACAUCACAAAUGUCCAGUAAUAGCAACUUUUACUUCCAUUUGUCACUGAUGAACUCUGCCUCAACUCUGCCUAUUUCUACAGAUGGACUAGAGAUGCUUUUUGCAGUCUGUCGUUUGAUGGGUAGACCAUAAUUGGGUAUGUUUAAUCUGACCUGUUCAAACUUCAACAUUGUACC
ensembl:lncRNA